rnacentral:rRNA from 1 species
UAGCAUGAAUGGUCUGACGAAAGCAAUACUGUCUCCUCUUUAUUUUUUAGAAAUUAACUUAUAGGUGAAGAGGCCUAUAUUAUAUUGAAGGACAAGAAGACCCUGUCGAGCUUUUAAAUUAAAGUAGGUGUAAAUUAUUAACAAAAUCAAUGAACUGCAUUACAUUUUUAGUUGGGGCGACGAAGGAACAAACAAAGCUUCUUUUAUUUUUAUAAAUUUAUAGAUUUAGAUCCAGCAAAGCUGAUUAAAGAAAUUAGUUACCGCAGGGAUAACAGCAUAAUCUCCUU